rnacentral:rRNA from 1 species
AAGUAGGGGAUCGCAAGACCUUGCGCUUUUGGAGCGGCCGAUGCCUGAUUAGCUAGUUGGUGGGGUAAGGGCCUACCAAGGCGACGAUCAGUAGUUGGUCUGAGAGGACGACCAGCCACACUGGGACUGAGACACGGCCCAGACUCCUACGGGAGGCAGCAGUGGGGAAUUUUGGACAAUGGGCGAAAGCCUGAUCCAGCAAUGCCGCGUGAGUGAAGAAGGCCUUCGGGUUGUAAAGCUCUUUCAGUCGAGAAGAAAAGGUCGCGACUAAUAAUCGCGACUCAUGACGGUAUCGACAGAAGAAGCACCGGCUAACUACGUGCCAGCAGCCGCGGUAAUACGUAGGGUGCGAGCGUUAAUCGGAAUUACUGGGCGUAAAGGGUGCGCAGGCGGCUUUGUAAGUCAGAUGUGAAAUCCCCGGGCUUAACCUGGGAAUUGCGUUUGAAACUACAAAGCUAGAGU